rnacentral:lncRNA from 1 species
AGAGCGGUGUCCAGGGACCACAGAGACCAGGAGCCGAGAAAUCUGCAGAGAGUCUUCCCAGAAUUACUGCUAUCCUUUGUUUAGCAGAGGGCACGUGGAGGCUUCAGUUUGCCACCUCAGAGGGAAAUCAGCAGUUUUAGGUAAGGAAUUAGAAUGGCAUUGUGUGUUGUAUUACUUCUCCAUGGUUAUUUCUGUCUUCCCCGCUUGGUUUGCCUUUGUAUUAGCACUGAAACCCUUGAAAGGAAAAGGACCUGCACGUUUAUGUCUUUGAGGAGAGCAAGCAAGAAGGGUUUGGGGAGCAAUGUCUGACUUUGUAGUCAGAUUUGUUGGGGCAGGACCACAAGGAGUGGAGUGAGUGGUCUUGUGAUGCUGAAGGUAUAGGACCUAAAAAGAUAAACAGUAGGAAAUAGGAGUAUGACAUGGGAAAGUAUCCUGGGGAUUACCGGUGGAGAGGCCCUAAGACAUUGACAUAUGAAAAACUCCAUCAACAAAAUCCACCUGGAACCCCUAAACAAAUACACUGAAAUGAGAAUGAACAAGAAGGUACAGGAGACAGGUGGUUCUGAAGGAAGAAAGUAUAAAGUAGGCAAAACUUUUCCUUGGUCUUUGGUUCAAUGUUUAUCAGGCAAAGUCAGAAUACUUAGAAUAUCUUGAAAACUGCAUUUGUUUUUCAAGCUAAUUGUGAUUAAAGGGUGAUUUCAAAUACUUAGAUUUAGCAUUCCUUCAAAUAAUUAUAGUAACUCAGUGGUAUAUGGUUAAAUUCUGGUCCUCCAAGUAAUGCUUUCAGCCAAAACCUCUUUUGUCAAGUUCAAAAUAGGCAAAUUUACAGUUCCCUAUUAUAUAGGGAUUGCUAUUUAAAUCUAAGGAGAUGGCAGGGAUGGAAGGGGGUGAUAAUUUAAGGCAGUUGACAGGCAUUAUAUCUCCUUCUCUGAUCCUUAUUUUUUUUUUUUAGUCCUCGACAAGUAAUUUAGCAGUAUGAAGACAAAUCUUGGUUGUUCCUAGAAGAAGUUGAAGGAAAAACAGCUUGUUGCAGUAGAUAGAGCCCUAGACUUAAAGUUGGAUGAAGUACAUAUAAAUUCUAGCUUUGCCAUAUGUUAAUGAUUGGUGGAAGCUGCUCAACUGGGCUCAUAAAAUGGGAAAUACAACAUAUCCUUGCCUUUUUCAUAGAUUAGUCGUAAGGAUCAGAUGAGUCAAAAUCUGAAAAGGCAGUUUAUAUACUAUUACGUUCUAUAUGAGUAUGGGAUACUGUAGGAUAUAACAGAACAGAAGGCAGCAUCCUCUAGUGGAGUCAGGCAGUGGUGUGAUUCAGAGCCUAGGCCUUAUGGUCAAGGGGGCCUAUUUGUGAAUUCCAGCUUCACAGUCCUCAAGGUCCUUAGCCCCUCUUUGCCUCAAUUUCUUUAUGAAGAAAGGCAAGGAUAGCUCUACUUUUGGAACAUUGGGAGGUGUAAAGGAGAAUGUAUAUGAAGUUCUUAGUGCAGAGCCUGACACAUAAGGAUAAGUAAAUACAAUCAAUAUUAGCUAUUAACUAGGCGUGAUUUUUGUGGUUGGCUCUGCUAAGUUUAUUUAUCUUGGAAAUAGUAAACCUUUGAACUUCACAGGGAGAGCUCGAAGACCAAACACUAUAUUUCUAUACAACACUCAUAUCAGUUUAUCUGGGUAUAUAGUUUGGUAUAGCGAAGGUCUGAAGUCUGAAUAUUACGUAGUAACAAAAUAUAGGAAGUGAGUUACUUUUUCUUUUUCACUUGGGGAAUUUGGUAACCCAGAAUUUAGCAUUGUAUUAUGGGAUCUAGCUAGCUAGCUGACUAGCUAGCAUUAUGGGUUGCUGCAUCUUUCAGCAGUCAUCUGUUGUGUCACAUCAUCAUCAGGAGGGUGAAUGAACAUCAUGCUGAAGGGACAGACCUGUUUUCUCUGGCCACAAUGCAGGAAUCCUGAGACGCCCCUUCCCCAUUCUAUGUCCCAACCAUGUUUGCUAAAGCCUUGAGGCAGUAAAAUCCAGUGGUGCACAGAUGAUUUACAAAAGAGAAGGGCAGAGGCAGAGGUUUUUCAUUUUUCUCUGUCUCGCUUUUCCUGUUUUCUGCUAUUAUCCGCCUUUUAUUUUUCUUUUCUCCUUUGCUUUUCUACCCUUGAUUUGGCCCUGUCCACAUUCUUCCCAUCCUCUCUCCUUUUUUCCUUUAUCAUUAGCAUAGAUAAUGUUCUUUAAAGAAGCAUUAUGAUAUUUUUAUAUUUUGAAUAUUUUUUAAUCUUUUGCCAAAUAGUUCUUUUCUUACAAUUGCUUAGGACUUGGCAGAUUUGCAAACAAAUGCUUGUAUAAUGAAUGCAAAAAUUACUUUUACCCUUAUGUUUUUUGUCUCCUCCUAAUUCCUAGCCUCUGUAGUCCUUUCCCAGACCUAAUGUCAGUGGAGCCACAGCUCUAGCUCUAGCUGUAGUUAAGAUAUCACCUUACUGUCUGAGAGCACAAUGACAUAAAUUAGAUUCUUAAAAGCUCUGGAGGUAGUUCCCAUUGUAGCUCAGCAGGUUAAAAUCCCAACUAGUAUCCAUGAGGAUGUGAGUUGGAUCCCUGGCCUUGGUCAGUGUGUUAAGGAACCAGCACACUGCAGAUGGGGCUCAGAUCUGGUGUUUCUGUGGCUCUGGCAUAGAAUGGCAGCUGCAGCUACAAUUUGUCCCCUAGCUUGGAAACAUAUGCUGCAUGUGUGGCCCGAAAAAAAAAAAAA